CACGUAGGGACCAAGCGUUGUCCGGAUUCAUUGGGCGUAAAGAGCUCGUAGGCGGUUCAGUAAGUCGGGUGUGAAACCUCCAGGCUCAACCUGGAGACGCCACCCGAUACUGCUGUGACUAGAGUCCAGUAGGGGAGCGUGGAAUCCUGGUGUAGCGGUGAAAUGCGCAGAUAUCAGGAGGAACACCAGUGGCGAAGGCGGCUCACUGGUCCGGUACUGACGCUGAGGUGCGAAAGCGUGGGGAGCAAACAGG
rnacentral:rRNA from 1 species